rnacentral:rRNA from 1 species
CCUACGGGCGGCAGCAGUGGGGAAUAUUGCACAAUGGGGGAAACCCUGAUGCAGCGACGCCGCGUGAGCGAUGAAGUACUUCGGUAUGUAAAGCUCUAUCAGCAGGGAAGAAGAUGACGGGACCUGACUAAGAAGCCCCGGCUAACUACGUGCCAGCAGCCGCCGUAAUACGUAGGGGGCAAGCGUUACCCGGAUUUACUGGGGGUAAAGGGAGCGUAGACGGCGAUGCAAGCCAGGUGUGAAAGCCCGGGGCUCAACCCCGGGACUGCAUUUGGAACUGUGUGGCUGGAGUGUCGGAGAGGCAGGCGGAAUUCCUGGUGUAGCGGUGAAAUGCGUAGAUAUCAGGAGGAACACCAGUGGCGAAGGCGGCCUGCUGGACGAUGACUGACGUUGAGGCUCGAAAGCGUGGGGAGCAAACAGGAUUAGAUACCCGUGUAGUC